GCGGAAGUGGCGGAACUGGCAGACGCGUAGGCCUCAGGAGUCUAUGGCCGCAAGGCCUUGUGGGUUCGACUCCCACCUUCCGCA
rnacentral:tRNA from 1 species